rnacentral:ncRNA from 1 species
UUCGCAGGGGAGCUCUGUAGAAGGGCUGAGAGGGGCGUAUGCCCGACCCGACCUGAUGUGGAUAAUGCCAACGUAGGGACGCGG